rnacentral:tRNA from 1 species
ACCGCAUAUGGCGGUUUGGCAGAGCACCGGUCUCCAAAACCGGCUGUCGCAGGUUCGAGUCCUGCAUACGGUGCCA